CUAGUGGCAUUAGAUAAUUACAUAUAUGAUCUUCAAAAAAGUUCUCUACCAGCAGACAUUGCUAAACCUCUAGUUUCUUUUAUCCAAAUGGUUUCAGAGGCAGCCCGAUUCAAAUAUAUUGAGAACAAAGUAUUAGAUCAAAUUGUUGGAUUUAAUUUUCUAUUGUGGGCUUAAUAUGUAAAAAAAAAUAUGUACAGCAGUCCAAUUGUAAAGUCAAUUUCAAAUGUGGUUUUGAUUGUAAA